rnacentral:rRNA from 1 species
UACGAAGGGUGCAAGCGUUAGUCGGAAUUACUGGGCGUAAAGCGUGCGUAGGCGGUUUCUUAAGUCCGUUGUGAAAGCCCUGGGCUCAACCUGGGAACUGCAGUGGAUACUGAGAGGCUAGAGUGUGUCAGAGGAUGGUGGAAUUCCCGGUGUAGCGGUGAAAUGCGUAGAGAUCGGGAGGAACAUCAGUGGCGAAGGCGGCCUCUGGGACAACACUGACGCUGAGGCACGAAAGCGUGGGGAGCAAACAGGG